GAUGAACGCUGGCGGCGUGCCUAAUACAUGCAAGUCGAGCGAACGGACGAGAAGCUUGCUUCUCUGAUGUUAGCGGCGGACGGGUGAGUAACACGUGGAUAACCUACCUAUAAGACUGGGAUAACUUCGGGAAACCGGAGCUAAUACCGGAUAAUAUUUUGAACCGCAUGGUUCAAAAGUGAAAGACGGUCUUGCUGUCACUUAUAGAUGGAUCCGCGCUGCAUUAGCUAGUUGGUAAGGUAACGGCUUACCAAGGCAACGAUGCAUAGCCGACCUGAGAGGGUGAUCGGCCACACUGGAACUGAGACACGGUCCAGACUCCUACGGGAGGCAGCAGUAGGGAAUCUUCCGCAAUGGGCGAAAGCCUGACGGAGCAACGCCGCGUGAGUGAUGAAGGUCUUCGGAUCGUAAAACUCUGUUAUUAGGGAAGAACAUAUGUGUAAGUAACUGUGCACAUCUUGACGGUACCUAAUCAGAAAGCCACGGCUAACUACGUGCCAGCAGCCGCGGUAAUACGUAGGUGGCAAGCGUUAUCCGGAAUUAUUGGGCGUAAAGCGCGCGUAGGCGGUUUUUUAAGUCUGAUGUGAAAGCCCACGGCUCAACCGUGGAGGGUCAUUGGAAACUGGAAAACUUGAGUGCAGAAGAGGAAAGUGGAAUUCCAUGUGUAGCGGUGAAAUGCGCAGAGAUAUGGAGGAACACCAGUGGCGAAGGCGACUUUCUGGUCUGUAACUGACGCUGAUGUGCGAAAGCGUGGGGAUCGAACAGGAUUAGAUACCCUGGUAGUCCACGCCGUAAACGAUGGGUGCUAAGUGUUAGGGGGUUUCCGCCCCUUAGUGCUGCAGCUAACACAUUAAGCACUCCGCCUGGGGAGUACGACCGCAAGGUUGAAACUCAAAGGAAUUGACGGGGACCCGCACACGCGGUGGAGCAUGUGGUUUAAUUCGAAGCAACGCGAAGAACCUUACCAAAUCUUGACAUCCUUUGACAACUCUAGAGAUAGAGCCUUCCCCUUCGGGGGACAAAGUGACAGGUGGUGCAUGGUUGUCGUCAGCUCGUGUCGUGAGAUGUUGGGUUAAGUCCCGCAACGAGCGCAACCCUUAAGCUUAGUUGCCAUCAUUAAGUUGGGCACUCUAAGUUGGCUGCCGGUGACAAACCGGAGGAAGGUGGGGAUGACGUCAAAUCAUCAUGCCCCUUAUGAUUUGGGCUACACACGUGCUACAAUGGACAAUACAAAGGGCAGCGAAACCGCGAGGUCAAGCAAAUCCCAUAAAGUUGUUCUCAGUUCGGAUUGUAGUCUGCAACUCGACUACAUGAAGCUGGAAUCGCUAGUAAUCGUAGAUCAGCAUGCUACGGUGAAUACGUUCCCGGGUCU
rnacentral:rRNA from 1 species